GCUUGGGAUAGUUCAGCUGGUAGAGCAUGAGACUGAAGGCAGCCCUGUUUAGGGAAGCUUUUAAUGUUUGAUGUAUUUUAAUAUUUUUUUGGAAGCCGCCCAGAGUGGCUGGGGAAACCCAGCCAGAUGGGCAGGGUAUAAAUAACAAAUUAUUAUUAUUAUUAUUAUUAUUAUUAUUAUUAUUAUUUAAUCUCAGGGUCGUGGGUGUGAGCCCCACGCUGGACA